CCUACGGGAGGCUGCAGUGAGGAAUAUUGGUCAAUGGGCGAGAGCCUGAACCAGCCAAGUCGCGUGAAGGAUGAAGGAUCUAUGGUUUGUAAACUUCUUUUAUAUGGGAAUAAAGUGAGGAACGUGUUCCUUUUUGUAUGUACCAUAUGAAUAAGCAUCGGCUAACUCCGUGCCAGCAGCCGCGGUAAUACGGAGGAUGCGAGCGUUAUCCGGAUUUAUUGGGUUUAAAGGGUGCGUAGGUGGUUAAUUAAGUCAGCGGUGAAAGUUCGUGGCUCAACCAUAACAUUGCCGGUGAAACUGGUUGACUUGAGUAUAUUAGAGGGAGGCGGAAUUCGUGGUGUAGCGGUGAAAUGCAUAGAUAUCGCGCAGAACUCCGAUUGCGAAGGCAGCUUACUGGACAAUAACUGACGCUGAGGCACGAAGGCGUGGGGAUCGAACAGGAUUAGAUACCCGGGUAGUC
rnacentral:rRNA from 1 species